rnacentral:rRNA from 1 species
UACGUAGGCAGCAAGCGUUGUUCGGAAUACUGGGCGUAAAGCGUGCGCAGGCGGUGAUGUAAGACAGGUGUGAAAUCCCCGGGCUUAACCUGGGAACUGCAUUUGUGACUGCAUCGCUGGAGUGCGGCAGAGGGGAUGGAAUUCCGCGUGUAGCAGUGAAAUGCGUAGAUAUGCGGAGGAACACCGAUGGCGAAGGCAAUCCCCUGGGCCUGCACUGACGCUCAUGCACGAAAGCGUGGGGAGCAAACAGGA